GGCUCUGCACCUAAAUGAGCAUGGGGCGGCCAGUGGUCCCUGAGGAAACCCUUGUCUCCUGGGGAGGACUGGCAUUGCCCAGCUCAGGCCUUGUAGUGCCUUGUCCAGCAGUGCUGGGGUUUCUCGUUUGAAACGGAGAGGAGUGCUAAAUGAGCAGAAAAGCUUUUGCUUAAUUGGAAAUUGGCUCUGUGGAGUUACCAGAUGAUGCUCGGUUGCAGGAUGAUGGGGAAACACCCAAGCAGAAGGGUUUCAGUCCUGUGGUUACUGUCAGGGUGAUCAGCUGAAUUAUCCCACGGCUGGUGAGUGAGCCGGUGUGCCAGCACCCCAGCACGGGAGGCAGGAGAGCAGGAGCGAGAUGGAUCUCUUACUGGCAUUGUUUGUGGCCACUGAAUACAGAAACAGCCUGCAUCAAGCACCUGCUUGAGAUACAUCCUAAAUCAUAAAGAAAUCAAUCUGGUCUGAACUUACUUCCUGAGUGAGAAGGAUCUCAGUGCUUACUGGGAGUUACACACAUUCCAGGGUCUUUACUCAGUUUGGGUUUAAUAUGGCCUUAUUCUGCAGUCUUUCAGCCAUCACACAUUUGAGCAAGGCAUAGGAGGAUCCAAGACUCAUUUGCUUUUUGGUCUAAACUGCAUUUUCCAUUUAUAAUUCCUUUCUUGCAGGAGGCAGCAAGAAAUUCCUUACUGGCAGAUAGGAAUACUUUCCUUGAGGAAUCUCAAAUGCCAUUGAACUCGAGCUAGGUGUUGUCACCCAGCUCACUUUUGCCAAUGGUAGCGCUCGCUCCCUUCCGUGCCACUAAUUGCGUUAUAGACGUACACUUCGGAGUUGCAUUCACUUGAAUGGUCAGUGGUUUAGGAAUAUGAAGACCAUCAGAUGCUGUGAUGAGAAUGAGGCACAGGGCAAUGCCUUCCCUUUGUUCCCCUGUUCCGCAAAUCUUGCUCAGGUUUUUAAAUAGAAAACAAACAAACAAAAAAAGCCACCAAAAUAGCAGACUUUUGCCGUGUCAAAGCCAGAAUAUUUUUUGUUCAAAUAAAAAGAAACUUUUGUCAUGUGCAAACGAAGCAUUAUACGUUUUUUGUAUUUGUAAAUCUGUGGGGAAGCAUUAAACAGUCAUCUCUGUUACGAAGGGGUAAGUCGUUGAUAGAGGGAAGGGGCUCGCCUUCCUCAUGUUUCAUUGUAAUGUUUGUUGUAUAUAUUUGCACAUUAAACUGUGUAUCUUUUUUCUAAUAAAUUAAUAUAAAAU
rnacentral:lncRNA from 1 species